rnacentral:rRNA from 1 species
CGGGACGGGUGAGUAAUGUCUGGGAAACUGCCCGAUGGAGGGGGAUAACUACUGGAAACGGUAGCUAAUACCGCAUAACGUCGCAAGACCAAAGAGGGGGACCUUCGGGCCUCUUGCCAUCGGAUGUGCCCAGAUGGGAUUAGCUAGUAGGUGGGGUAACGGCUCACCUAGGCGACGAUCCCUAGCUGGUCUGAGAGGAUGACCAGCCACACUGGAACUGAGACACGGUCCAG